rnacentral:rRNA from 1 species
UACGGAGGAUCCAAGCGUUAUCCGGAUUCAUUGGGUUUAAAGGGUGCGUAGGCGGAAUGAUAAGUCAGUGGUGAAAUCCUGCAGCUUAACUGCAGAACUGCCAUUGAUACUGUCAAUCUUGAGUAUAUUUGAUGUGGGCGGAAUGUGUCAUGUAGCGGUGAAAUGCUUAGAUAUGACACAGAACACCGAUUGCGAAGGCAGCUCACAAAAACUAUAACUGACGCUGAGGCACGAAAAGCGUGGGUAUCAAA